GUGUCAGACUUCCCCUGCAAGAGCAGGCGUCUGCGACUCGCUACUAGUGUCCACAGUGGAGACAGUCGCAAUGAAUAAAUGACGAGGCGGCGUUCCACCCACCCUCAGUCCAGCUCGCUCUUUCCGACGAAAUCAACCUUCCUAGGUGAUGCAGUGGUAAAGGAAUCCAGAUGCCAGUGGAGGAGACUCAAGAGACGUGGAUUCAAUCCCUCGGUCAGGAAGAUCUCCUGGAGGAAGAAAUGGCAACCCACUCCAGUAGACUUGCCUGGAAAAUUCCAUGGACAGAGGGAACCUGGUGUGCUACAGCCCAUGGGAUCACAAAGAGUCGAACAGGAUUGAACACAAUUGAUUGAAAUGUUGAAACAGUCAGGUAACUUGAAGAACGGAACCAUUAGAGACAGCCUAGCCCAGAAUUCCCUGGAGUGUUUCCUGGUACACAGAAGAUGUUCGGCAACCACUACUGACCGUGACAUUAGGCUGCUAGACCAGAGGCCGACUUAACACACAGUGGUGACGCUGCCUGACUUUGAAGAUGACAGAGCUAACCUGCAGAUGCUUCCAUUCACACAAGAACUACAUUCUGAGAACUCAUAAAGUGGUUGUAUGCUUCUUAAUCAAGUCACAUUUCAAGUAUAUCAAAGUAAUGGCCAAAGUAAAUGAACUUAGAAUUGAAUCUUUGAAAAAUGUAUCAGGGAAGUUCAGACAUAAACAGUGUUAUAAAUAAGUCAUCUAAUGUUGGGUUACAAAAAUAUUUUGACCAACCCUUUGAGGAUGGCAUUUUUCUUAGUUUCAUUGUAAAAUGAGGAAAGUGAGGCUUAUGAUAAGGAACUGAAAGAUGAUAAGCAAACUUAUCAUCGACAAGUAAGAACUUGCCCAUAUCACACAGCUACUGGG